GAAGCUUGGUCAAAAGCUUGGUUAUUAUCAUUGGAACCAGAAAGUCAGUGAAACCCAAAUGCACAACUUGAACAGAGGUCCUUUCCAGAAGUCAAGUCUUCCAAAACACCCAAAAUGGAACCACCCUCCUGCCAGCACAACUGAUUGGCCAGUUUUGUCACUCAGCCCUUGCACAGAGAAGAACAUAUUAAUCCUCUGAAUGUGAAGCUAUAGCCAACAGGUGGCAAGGCCCAUCCCUGCACAGAAGGCAGCUGCGGAGAGUGAGAAAGGGUGCCAGGAAGAAGGAGCUUCAGGUGGGAAUCUGCACAGAGCAAUUAACCUUCACCCUGAAACACACCCCACUCUAGUCCCAACACUCGUAAAGGAGACCAUGACCCUUCGGGUCACACACUCAGAACAUUCCAUAGAGCAGUAGUGCUAGAUGGACUGCCCAGGGGCCAGCUGCAGUGGGAUCCACUGAACCUUCUGGUUGACAGCAGAGAUUCCUGGACCCCACCCCAGGCCUCCAGAGUCUGAAGCUAGGGUAGUUCACCUCCCCCAUCACUUUGUCUUGCACCACCCCAUUGAUUUUCUCCUUUGCACAUAAAUCAGUAUCUGAAAUGAUAACAUCUAUUUACCGGUUUCCCGUCUUCCCGUUGCUAGUGUGCGUCCCAAAGCAACAGGGACUACAUGCUCAGAACAGUGCCGACCACACAGGAUGUGCAUCAUAAAUACCUGUUAGGUGAAUAGGUGAAUUGAGGGGAGAUGGGGAGGAGGAGAAAUGCCUGUCCUGGUGAAUAACUAAGCUGAGCUGAGCCCGGUUCCUAUGCUCUAGUAUCCUCAGGCAGCAUGAGUUGGGGUGACAGACAACAAAGAGGGAGGCUGUUCACCAUUUGGGUUGAAAAAACAGUGGAAGACUGACGAUCUU
rnacentral:lncRNA from 1 species